ACAAUGGGGGCAACCCUGAUCUAGCCAUGCCGCGUGUGUGAUGAAGGCCCUAGGGUCGUAAAGCACUUUCGCCAGAGAUGAUAAUGACAGUAUCUGGUAAAGAAACCCCGGCUAACUCCGUGCCAGCAGCCGCGGUAAUACGGAGGGGGUUAGCGUUGUUCGGAAUUACUGGGCGUAAAGCGCACGUAGGCGGAUUAGUAAGUUAGAGGUGAAAUCCCAGGGCUCAACCCUGGAACUGCCUUUAAUACUGCUAGUCUUGAGUUCGAGAGAGGUAAGUGGAAUUCCGAGUGUAGAGGUGAAAUUCGUAGAUAUUCGGAGGAACACCAGUGGCGAAGGCGGCUUACUGGCUCGAUACUGACGCUGAGGUGCGAAAGUGUUGGGGAGCAAACAGGAUUAGAUACCCUGGUAGUCCACACCGUAAACGAUGAAUGCCAGACGUCAGCAAGGUUACUUGUUGGUGUCACACCUAACGGAUUAAGCAUUCCGCCUGGGGAGUACGGUCGCAAGAUAUAAACUCAAAGAAAUUGACGGGCCACCACCGGGGCUUUGGUUAAUCAACACCCC
rnacentral:rRNA from 1 species